GAUCGUAUGGAUAAUAUGGUUCUUAGCAGUAUUUAGGCGAACACAAUUAUCUCUGCCGCCGAGACCUCUUGAUCUCUUGCGGCUCUUAGAGAUGAUAGAAUGCAAUGAUCUAAACUUCAUUAUAUGAUAAUCAAUUACGUUCCAACGGUGAAGAGCAUUUAUCGGGGAAAAGUGCUAUUCUCAGAGUCAACGAAGGGAUUUUCUAGACCAUUAAGAUGCUUGCGACUGAAC